CGCGUGUGCUCGUGUUCUCUCGCGGCGAACCGUGUCGAGUCACAACGGAAAGGUUACUCCAUUUACUGGAUACACGUGGAACGACGAAGAAAUUGCCUCAAGUACACGUGCCGCCGUCGUCGUCGAGUGGAUGCCGAGGGUGCGGAGAAUACCGAACCACUGUAACCAGCAAACACAUGCAGUGCUGGCGUUUCAAAAGAAAUAACAACUAAUUGACGCUAACCAAAUGAAAACAAUACGUACAUAUGUAUAACAGGCCAC